rnacentral:lncRNA from 1 species
UCACUGUGCAUGUCACAAGAAGAUAGCUUUAUGGGGUUCAGACAAUCCAGGAUCCCAGCCAAGGAAUGGUGACACCCAUAGUGGGCAAGUCUUCCCGCCUCAAUUAACAUUAUCCAGAUAAUCCCUCCGGCUGGAGAGAUGGCUCAGCGGGUAAGAGCACUGACUGCUCUUCCAGAGGUCCUGAGUUCAAAUCCUCAGCAACCACAUGGUGGCUCACAACCAUCCGUAAUGAGAUCUGACGCCCUCUUCUGGAACGUCUGAAGACAGCUACCGUGUACUUACAUAUAAUAAAGAAAUAAAUCUUUAAAACAAAAAAUAAAGAUAAUCCCUCAUGGGCAUGUCCAAGGUCCAAAUCCUGGUGGUCUCUAGAGCCUGUCAAGUUGACAAUCAGUACCAUUCAUUUCUUCCUCCAUCCUUAGAAUGGCAUGAAAAGUUUAUAAAAUUCACAGUCCAACAAAACACUGCUUUACAUAACAUGAAGUAACUUAGGACUGGGCAGACUGAUCUCAAUAGCUGGCAUUAUAAGUGUUGAAUAAGCGAGAAACUCAACUUCAGUUGGCCUAGAUCCAUAUAGAGCCUAAUGUACAACUUGCCAUCACUCAUUUACCUUCUAGCAGAGUGGUGCAAAC